GGCAAGGUGGCCGAGCGGUUAAGGCGCUACGUUCAGGUGGUUAUGAUAUCGUAGUCUCAGUAAUGGGGCGUGGGUUCAAGUCCCACCCUUGUCA